rnacentral:rRNA from 1 species
GCUGGCGGCAUGCUUAACACAUGCAAGUCGAACGGAAACGAUGGAAGCUUGCUUCCAGGCGUCGAGUGGCGGACGGGUGAGUAAUGCUUGGGAAUCUGCCUAAUAGUGGGGGAAAACUCGGGGAAACUCGGGCUAAUACCGCAUAAUCUCUUCGGAGGAAAGGGGGCCUCUACAUGUAAGCCCUCGCUAAUAGAUGAGCCCAAGUCAGAUUAGCUUGUUGGUGAGGUAAUGGCUCACCAAGGCAACGAUCUGUAGCUGGUCUGAGAGGACGAUCAGCCACACUGGGACUGAGACACGGCCCAGACUCCUACGGGAGGCAGCAGUGGGGAAUAUUGCACAAUGGGGGAAACCCUGAUGCAGCAAUGCCGCGUGUGUGAAGAAGGCUUUAGGGUUGUAAAGCACUUUCAAUAGAGAAGAAAAGCUUAGGGUUAAUACCCCUAAGUAUUGACGUAACCUAUAGAAGAAGCACCGGCUAAAUCCGUGCCAGCAGCCGCGGUAAUACGGAUGGUGCGAGCGUUAAUCGGAAUUACUGGGCGUAAAGAGCACGUAGGCUGUUUUAUAAGUCGGAUGUGAAAUCCCCGGGCUUAACCUGGGAACUGCAUCCGAAACUAUUUAACUAGAGUAUGGGAGAGGUAAGUAGAAUUUCCGGUGUAGCGGUGAAAUGCGUAGAUAUCGGAAGGAAUACCAGUGGCGAAGGCGGCUUACUGGACCAAUACUGACGCUGAGGUGCGAAAGCGUGGGGAGCGAACAGGAUUAGAUACCCUGGUAGUCCACGCCGUAAACGAUGAGAACUAGACGUUGGGAGGAUUAGCCUCUCAGUGUCGCAGCUAACGCAUUAAGUUCUCCGCCU